GGACUACUCGGGUUUCUAAUCCUGUUCGAUCCCCACGCUUUCGUGCAUCAGCGUCAGUAAUGACCCAGUAAGCUGCCUUCGCAAUAGGUGUUCUGUGUAAUAUCUAAGCAUUUCACCGCUACACUACACAUUCCGCCUACCUUGACCACACUCGAGACCUGCAGUAUCAACGGCAAUGUUUUCGUUAAGCGAAAAGAUUUCACCGCUGACUUAUAAGCCCGCCUACGCACCCUUUAAACCCAAUAAAUCCGGAUAACGCUCGGAUCCUCCGUAUUACCGCGGCUGCUGGCAC
rnacentral:rRNA from 1 species